GGAGAGGUGCAGGAGUGGUUGAACUGGCUCGCCUGGAAAGUGAGUAUGGCAGCAAUGUCAUCAAGGGUUCGAAUCCCUUCCUCUCCGCCA
rnacentral:tRNA from 1 species